CUGGUGAUGGAGUCUUUGGCGCGGACCAAUCCACUGUUGACCCCACUCUGGGGAAGAAUGGGAGACAGGGGCUGUCUUGGACCAGCAGAUAGAGGACACAAUGAAACAGAAGAAGCCUGAAUCCUUGACAUGGAGCCACCAUACUCCAUUCCAACCACCUGUGAAGACUUUCAGGGGAACGAUAGCCUCAAUGUCAUAAGCAGCCACCUAUGAAGAGGCCCAUGUAGCAAGGAAUUGAGGCCUCCAGCCAAGGGCAGGUGAGUGCCCCAUUUUGGUAGCACAACCUCUGGCCCCAGUCCAACCUUCAGGUGACUGCAGCCCCAGCCAAAAUCUUGUUUGCAACCUCGUGAGACGCCCUGAGCCAGGCCCACCCAGCUGAGCCCCUCCAAGUUUGUUGUUUGAAGUUUUGGUGUAAUUGGUUUCACAGCAAUAGAAAGCAUUACACAAAGUGUCUUUCUAACCUGAAGACUCAGAAGGUCUUGGGUUUCCUGUGGGUAAUUGUUCUGGAAACCAAGGCAACAGGACCUAGGGCCAACUAAUUUCUCCCAGUUACUAGCCGUAUGACCUCAUGGAGAGGACUUCACCUCUCUGUGCCUCUGCUUCCCUACCUGUGAAAUGGAGAUAUAACUAACAACUACCUUCACAGGGUUCCCAUUGUCCUUCCUCCUACCUGGAAACUGACACUCUCUCAACCAGGGUCUCCAUCACCGCCUGGUUCUCUGUCCCCCUCUUUCCAGUUCUCUGUCCCCACCCAGCCCCUGUGUCUGUUCCUUCUCUCUCUGGGUCUCUAUCCCCCUCCUCUAUUUCUGGUCUUCUGUCUCACCCUGAUUCAGCUCUGUCCCCCAAAUCUCAGAGUCUCUGACUUAUUUUUCCUGAGUCUCUGCCUUUCUACUCUUUAGGUCUCUGUCUUCUUUUUUUUUUUUUUUUUUUGAGAUAGAGUCUCACUCUGUCACCAGGCUGGAGUGCAGUGGCACGAUCUCGGCUCUCUGCAACCUCCACCUCCCGAGUUCAAGCGAUUCUCCUGCCUCAGCCUCCCGAGUAGCUGGGAUUACAGGCAUGUGCCCCCCUCUGUCUCUGGGUCUCUGUCCUCCUCUCUCUCUGGGUCUCUGUCCUCCUCUCUCUUGGUCUCUGUCCCCCACUCUCUGGGUCUCUGUCCCCCUCUCCCUGGUCUCCCUUCCCCUCUCUCUGGGUCUCUGUUCCCCUCUCUCUCUCUGGGUCUCUGUCUCCCUCUCUCUCUGGGUCUCUGUGUCCUUCUCUCUGCCUGUCCCCGCCUUCUCUCUGGAUGCAGCUCAGGUGCUGGGUGCUGGUUCCAGCUCCUGCUGCCCCCCUCACCUCUCCAGCAGGCACCCCAAGGUCAUUACUUUUUCCAUUUCACAGAGAAGGAACUUGAAGCCCGUUAGAGGCCGACACUCCCCUGCAGCCCCACAGCGAGCUGGCAGCUGUGUCAGACCUUGAUCCUGGCUGCCUGGGGUACUUUCUCAGGCUUCACGAUCCAGUGGGGGAUGUGACUCAGAAAUAGCUCUGGUGGGAGGCAAACGGCUGCAAGUGCUGCCUGAGGGACACUCCCCAAGACAGGGCGGAGAGCUCUUCUGUCUGAGGGAGGAGAUGUCUCCCAGACAUCCUUCCCAGCCCAGACUCUUUGCCCUGUUCUCUGCAGCUCCUCCUCCUUCCCUGGACCCUCGCCCAGGCUCCCCUCUGGCCUCCCUGCCUCAGUCUCUCCCCUCCAAACAUCCCCCACUCAGCCCAAGGGAGUCUUGGGGAGAGAAAGCCCUUUUGCAUUAGUGACAAAAGCAGCAGCCUUCUUGUCUUGGUCCUGCUUCUUACAACCCCUCCAACCUUGACCUUGUGGAGGUUACUACACCACUGUCUACCUUAGUUGUUUCUUUUUUUUUUUUGAGACGGAGUUUUGCUCUUGUUGCCCAGGCUGGAGUGCAAUGGCACGAUUUCGGUUCACUGCAACCUCUGCCUCCCAGGUUCAAGC
rnacentral:lncRNA from 10 species